UGGGGAAUAUUGCACAAUGGAGGGAACUCUGAUGCAGCGACGCCGCGUGAACGAAGAAGGCUUUCGAGUCGUAAAGUUCUUUUAUAUGGGAAGUUAAUGACGGUACCAUAAGAAGAAGCCCCGGCUAACUACGUGCCAGCAGCCGCGGUAAUACGUAGGGGGCUAGCGUUGUCCGGAAUCACUGGGCGUAAAGGGUUCGCAGGCGGAAAUGCAAGUCAGGUGUAAAAGGCAGUAGCUUAACUACUGUAAGCAUUUGAAACUGCAUAUCUUGAGAAGAGUAGAGGUAAGUGGAAUUUUUAGUGUAGCGGUGAAAUGCGUAGAUAUUAAAAAGAAUACCGGUGGCGAAGGCGACUUACUGGGCUCAUUCUGACGCUGAGGAACGAAAGCGUGGGUAGCAAACAGG
rnacentral:rRNA from 1 species